rnacentral:rRNA from 1 species
CCUACGGGUGGCAGCAGUGGGGAAUAUUGCACAAUGGGCGCAAGCCUGGUGCGGCCAUGCCGCGUGUGUGAAGAAGGCCUUCGGGUUGUAAAGCACUUUCAGCGGGGAGGAAGGCGUUAAGGUUAAUAACCUUGUCGAUUGACGUUACCCGCAGAAGAAGCACCGGCUAACUCCGUGCCAGCAGCCGCGGUAAUACGGAGGGUGCAAGCGUUAAUCGGAAUUACUGGGCGUAAAGCGCACGCAGGCGGUCUGUCAAGCCAGAUGUGAAAUCCCCGGGCUCAACCUGGGAACUGCAUUCGAAACUGGCAGGCUAGAGUCUUGUAGAGGGGGGUAGAAUUCCAGGUGUAGCGGUGAAAUGCGUAGAGAUCUGGAGGAAUACCGGUGGCGAAGGCGGCCCCCUGGACAAAGACUGACGCUCAGGUGCGAAAGCGUGGGGAGCAAACAGGAUUAGAUACGCUAGUAGUC